rnacentral:rRNA from 1 species
CGUAGGGUGCAAGCGUUAAUCGGAAUUACUGGGCGUAAAGCGUGCGCAGGCGGUUAUGUAAGACAGAUGUGAAAUGCCCGGGCUCAACCUGGGAACUGCAUUUGUGACUGCAUGGCUAGAGUGUGUCAGAGGGGGGUAGAAUUCCACGUGUGAGCAGUGAAAUGCGUAGAGAUGUGGAGGAAUACCGAUGGCGAAGGCAGCCCCCUGGGAUAACACUGACGCCUCAUGCACGAAAGCGUGGGGAGCAAACAGGA